rnacentral:rRNA from 1 species
CCUACGGGAGGCAGCAGUGGGGAAUAUUGGACAAUGGGGGAAACCCUGAUCCAGCGACGCCGCGUGAGUGAAGAAGUAUUUCGGUACGUAAAGCUCUAUCAGCAGGAAAGAAAAUGACGGUACCUGACUAAGAAGCCCCGGCUAACUACGUGCCAGCAGCCGCGGUAAUACGUAGGGGGCAAGCGUUAUCCGGAUUUACUGGGUGUAAAGGGAGCGUAGGCGGCGAUGCAAGUCAGAAGUGAAAGCCCGGGGCUCAACUCCGGGACUGCUUUUGAAACUGUGUUGCUAGAUUGCAGGAGAGGUAAGUGGAAUUCCUAGUGUAGCGGUGAAAUGCGUAGAUAUUAGGAGGAACACCAGUGGCGAAGGCGGCUUACUGGACUGUAAAUGACGCUGAGGCUCGAAAGCGUGGGGAGCAAACAGGAUUAGAUACCCUAGUAGUC